UUGGUGUCCGACCACGGCACGGGCCUGUGU
rnacentral:piRNA from 1 species